AGAGUUUGAUCUUGGCUCAGAAUGAACGCUGGCAGAAUGCUUAACACAUGCAAGUCGACUGGAAUUCACCUUCGGGUGAUAGUACGGUGGCGGACGGGUGAGUAACGCGUAAAGAAUCUGCCCUCUAGACUGGGAUAACUGUUGGAAACGACAGCUAAUACCGCAUAUUAUGGAACGGCGGCAUCGCGGAACUCUGAAAGGCUAUAUGCGCUAGAGGAUAGGUUUGCGUCCCAUUAGCUAGUUGGUAGGGUAAUGGCCUACCAAGACGAUGAUGGGUAGCCGGCCUGAGAGGGUGAUCGGCCACACUGGGACUGAGACACGGCCCAGACUCCUACGGGAGGCAGCAGUGGGGAAUAUUGGACAAUGGACUAAAAGUCUGAUCCAGCAACGCUGCGUGCACGAUGAAGGUCUUCGGAUCGUAAAGUGCUUUCAGGUGGGAAGAAGAAAGUCGACGGUACCACCAGAAGAAGCACCGGCUAAAUACGUGCCAGCAGCCGCGGUAAUACGUAUGUCGCAAGCGUUAUCCGGAAUUAUUGGGCGUAAAGCGCGUGUAGGCGGCCUUUUAAGUCUGAUGUGAAAGCGCGGGGCUCAACUCCGUAUUGCGUUGGAAACUGGAAAGCUUGAGUAUCAGAGA
rnacentral:rRNA from 1 species